rnacentral:tRNA from 1 species
GCUCGCGUAGCUCAGGGGUAGAGCGCAUCCUUGGUAAGGAUGAGGUCGGGGGUUCGAAUCCCCCUGCGAGCUCCA